rnacentral:tRNA from 1 species
GCCGGGGUGGCGGAAUUGGUAGACGCAAGGGACUUAAAAUCCCUCGGAGGCAACUCCGUGCCGGUUCAAUUCCGGCCCUCGGUACCA